rnacentral:rRNA from 1 species
CACGUAGGGGGCGAGCGUUGUCCGGAAUCAUUGGGCGUAAAGAGCUCGUAGGCGGCUCAGUAAGUCGGGUGUGAAACCCUCAGGCUCAACCUGGGGACGCCACCCGAUACUGCUGUGGCUAGAGUCCAGUAGGGGAGUGUGGAAUUCCCGGUGUGAGCGGUGAAAAUGCGCAGAUAUCGGGAGGAACACCAGCGGCGAAGGC